UAAUACCGGAUAUGAGCUACGGCCGCAUGGUCGGUAGUUGGAAAGAAUUUCGGUCAGGGAUGAGCUCGCGGCCUAUCAGCUUGUUGGUGAGGUAAUGGCUCACCAAGGCGUCGACGGGUAGCCGGCCUGAGAGGGUGACCGGCCACACUGGGACUGAGACACGGCCCAGACUCCUACGGGAGGCAGCAGUGGGGAAUAUUGCACAAUGGGCGCAAGCCUGAUGCAGCAACGCCGCGUGAGGGAUGACGGCCUUCGGGUUGUAAACCUCUUUUAGCGAGGAAGAAGCGAAAGUGACGGUACUCGCAGAAAAAGCGCCGGCUAACUACGUGCCAGCAGCCGCGGUAAUACGUAGGGCGCAAGCGUUAUCCGGAAUUAUUGGGCGUAAAGAGCUCGUAGGCGGUUUGUCGCGUCUGCUGUGAAAACUGGAGGCUCAACCUCCAGCCUGCAGUGGGUACGGGCAGACUAGAGUGCGGUAGGGGAGAUUGGAAUUCCUGGUGUAGCGGUGGAAUGCGCAGAUAUCAGGAGGAACACCGAUGGCGAAGGCAGAUCUCU
rnacentral:rRNA from 1 species